GUUGUGAUAGUUUAAAUAGAAUAAUAAUUUGUGGUAUUAUAGGUGAAGUUAUUCUCUUAACC
rnacentral:tRNA from 1 species